rnacentral:lncRNA from 1 species
ACAUGGCCAGUGGGUGCUCCAGCCCUGAAGGCUGGACAAAGGGCAGCUGCUUUGUGGGACCCGGGUAGAGCUUGGCCACGUGGGCCGAGUGCCCGGUUUCUGUUUUUCUCCCGGUGCAGGAAAACAUGAAGAACGGGGAAAGUAGCUGCCGCAUGCCAAUGUGAAACUCCGAGGAGUCUAGCCAUUCUGAUCUGGCCUUCCAGGUCAUUAGGAGGCUCUGCCAUCGUGUGAGGAGGGAAAGCCUGCUGUCUGGAGAGCACACUGGUCUCCAGCGUGGGGAGAGAGAGCACUUUCGGGCUUUGCUGAGGAGGGUCUUCAGAAAAAAGAGUACUGCCAACAAGAAGGCCCAAUCAAGAUCCUCCCACAACAAGAGCAGAUUGUGAGCGUGGCAAGCUCUAUGCUGAGCACUGGAAGGACAAAGAGAGAUUGGGCACAGACUUCUCACUGAUCCAGGUGAUGAAGAGCUCACAUCUGAGAGGAUGUGACCAUGGAUGACCCACCAGAAUGUCAUGGGAUCCAGCUACAGCCAAGGAAGCACAGAGCACCGUGGGAGCGAUUUAUUGUGCUUGGGGAUGGGGAAGGGGACAUGGGAGGAGCCAUAUUGAGAAAGUAGCAUGGGUACUUGGCUUCACAGAGUGUGGCAGCUUUCAUCAGGAAGUGAUGGUGGGGGAACAGCGUCUCUGGCGGAGGGAAGCAGCAGGUGCAGAGGUGCAGAGGUGUGAGGAGUCUGUCACAUUCUGGGAAGGGAGUAUGGUUGGGUGACAAUGCAAGACAGAGAAAGCAAGGAGGGAAGGAGGGGCCUAGCCUGAGGAAUAAAGAAUAAUAAAAGCAGGAAAACAAUUGCUGAGA